rnacentral:rRNA from 1 species
GGGUUGUGAGGUUAAGCGACUAAGCGUACACGGUGGAUGCCCUGGCAGUCAGAGGCGAUGAAGGACGUGCUAAUCUGCGAUAAGCGUCGGUAAGGUGAUAUGAACCGUUAUAACCGGCGAUUUCCGAAUGGGGAAACCCAGUGUGAUUCGUCACACUAUCAUUAACUGAAUCCAUAGGUUAAUGAGGCGAACCGGGGGAACUGAAACAUCUAAGUACCCCGAGGAAAAGAAAUCAACCGAGAUUCCCCCAGUAGCGGCGAGCGAACGGGGAGCAGCCCAGAGCCUGAAUCAGUGUGUGUGUUAGUGGAAGCGUCUGGAAAGGCGCGCGAUACAGGGUGACAGCCCCGUACACAAAAAUGCACAUAUUGUGAGCUCGAUGAGUAGGGCGGGACACGUGGUAUCCUGUCUGAAUAUGGGGGGCCCAUCCUCCAAGGCUAAAUACUCCUGACUGACCGAUAGUGAACCAGUACCGUGAGGGAAAGGCGAAAAGAACCCCGGCGAGGGGAGUGAAAAAGAACCUGAAACCGUGUACGUACAAGCAGUGGGAGCACGCUUAGGCGUGUGACUGCGUACCUUUUGUAUAAUGGGUCAGCGACUUAUAUUCUGUAGCAAGGUUAACCGAAUAGGGGAGCCGAAGGGAAACCGAGUCUUAACUGGGCGUUAAGUUGCAGGGUAUAGACCCGAAACCCGGUGAUCUAGCCAUGGGCAGGUUGAAGGUUGGGUAACACUAACUGGAGGACCGAACCGACUAAUGUUGAAAAAUUAGCGGAUGACUUGUGGCUGGGGGUGAAAGGCCAAUCAAACCGGGAGAUAGCUGGUUCUCCCCGAAAGCUAUUUAGGUAGCGCCUCGUGAAUUCAUCUCCGGGGGUAGAGCACUGUUUCGGCA